rnacentral:rRNA from 1 species
AUACGGAGGGUGCAAGCGUUAUCCGGAAUCAUUGGGUUUCGAGGGUCCGCAGGCGGAUUAAUAAGUCAGUGGUGAAAUCCUCUCGCUCAACGAGAGAACUGCCAUUGAAACUGUUAGUCUUGAAUUCGGUCGAAGUAGGCGGAAUGUGUCAUGUAGCGGUGAAAUGCAUAGAUAUGACACAGAACACCGAUAGCGAAGGCAGCUUACUAGACCUGGAUUGACGCUCAUGGACGAAAGCGUGGGGAGCGAACAGGAUUAGAUACCCUAGUAGUCC